rnacentral:rRNA from 1 species
CUGGUAGUGGGGGACAACGUUUCGAAAGGAACGCUAAUACCGCAUACGUCCUACGGGAGAAAGCAGGGGACCUUCGGGCCUUGCGCUAUCAGAUGAGCCUAGGUCGGAUUAGCUAGUUGGUGAGGUAAUGGCUCACCAAGGCGACGAUCCGUAACUGGUCUGAGAGGAUGAUCAGUCACACUGGAACUGAGACACGGUCCAG